rnacentral:rRNA from 1 species
CAGCAGCCGCGGGAAUACGGAGGGUGCAAGCGUUAAUCGGAAUUACUGGGCGUAAAGCGCACGCAGGCGGUCUGACAAGUCAGAUGUGAAAUCCCCGGGCUUAACCUGGGAACUGCAUUUGAAACUGUCAGGCUGGAGUCUUGUAGAGGGGGGUAGAAUUCCAGGUGUAGCGGUGAAAUGCGUAGAGAUCUGGAGGAAUACCGGUGGCGAAGGCGGCCCCCUGGACAAAGACUGACGCUCAGGUGCGAAAGCGUGGGGAGCAAACAGGAUUAGAUACCCGGGUAGUCCCUGUCUCUUAUAC